rnacentral:rRNA from 1 species
CUGGGAGAGUAUUCAGAAGACGGCGUGACUUGAGGGUGAGAGAGGGACACGGAUUCCGGGGUGUAGUGGUGAAAUGCGUAGAUAUCCGGAGGAACACCGAAGGCGAAGGCAGUGUCCUGGCUCAUACCUGACGCUGAGGGGCGAAAGCUAGGGGAGCGAACGGGAUUAGAUACCCCGGUAGUCCUAGCCGUAAACGAUGACCACUAGGUGUGCGAGGUAUCGACCCCUUGCGUGCCGUCGCAAACGCAAUAAGUGGUCCGCCUGGGGAGUACGGUCGCAAGAUUAAAACUCAAAGGAAUUGACGGGGACCCGCACAAGCAGCGGAGCGUGUGGUUUAAUUCGAUGCAACGCGAAGAACCUUACCAGGGUUUGACAUGCUUUUGCACCGCCGAGAGAUCGGCGUCCUCGCAAGAGGCGGAAGCACAGGUGCUGCAUGGCUGUCGUCAGCUCGUGCCGUGAGGUGUUGGGUUAAGUCCCGCAACGAGCGCAACCCCCGUGGUCGGUUGUAAGUUUCCGACCAGACUGCCACGAUCAACGUGGAGGAAGGUGGGGAUGACGUCAAGUCAGCACGGCCCUUACGUCCUGGGCGACACACACGCUACAAUGGCCGAGACAACGGGACGCCAACCCGCGAGGGGGAGCCAAUCCCAGCAAACUCGGUCUCAGUUCAGAUUGCAGGCUGCAACCCGCCUGCAUGAAGAUGGAGUUGCUAGUAACCGUGGGUCAGCACACCACGGUGAAUACGUUCCCGGGUCUUGUACACACCGCCCGUCACACCACGAAAGUCGGCAACACCUGAAGCCGCUGGGCUAACCUCUCAGGAGGAGGCACGCGUCGAGGGUGGGGUCGGUGAUUGGGGUGAAGUCGUAACAAGGUAUCAAUCCCGCGG